CCAAUAGCGUAUAUUAAAGUUGUUGCAGUUAAAAAGCUCGUAGUUGAACUUCGGGGUUUACCCAUUGGUCAGGCUUAAUUGUCUGUACUGGUGAGAUGAAUCUCUACCUUCUGAGGAACUUUCAUGCCAUUUAUUUGGUGUGAUGGGAAAUCAGGACUGUUACUUUGAAAAAAUUAGAGUGUUUAAAGCAGGCUAACGUCUGAAUACAUUAGCAUGGAAUAAUGAAAUAGGACGGACUGAUUCUAUUUCGUUGGUUUCUAGGAUCACCGUAAUGAUUAAUAGGGAUAGUUGGGGGCAUUAGUAUUCAAUUGUCAGAGGUGAAAUUCUUGGAUUUAUUGAAGACUAACUACUGCGAAAGCAUUUGCCAAGGACGUUUUCAUUAAUCAAGAACGAAAGUUAGGGGAUCGAAGACGAUCAGAUACCGUCGUAGUCUUAACCAUAAACUAUGCCGACUAGGGAUCGGACGAAGUUAAUUUUAUAAUGACGCGUUCGGCACCUUACG
rnacentral:rRNA from 1 species